CUUUUCUAUUAAAUCUAAAGAGUUUCCACUUCCUUAAAGACAUCGUGUUAAAGUUGUCCCUUUCACUUUCUUCUGUUGCCGGGUAAUGUAUGCUCCUGUAGUUCUGAGGGGAAAUAAGCCAAGCACCAAGGGUAAGCCUUGUUCUCUUGCUGGCUGAGCAGGAGUUGAAAGAGGAGGUCCUAGUCUUUUAGACAGAAUGUCCAAUGGACCAGAAUACUGUUACUGUAAGAGUAUUUUUUGAUGCUUGCUCCCUGCUGAUCAUGCCUGAAAAACACUUUCUAGAAAUCUGAUGUGUCAGAAGGGAACUCUGCCAUGCGGACUUCACAGCACCAGGAUCACAAGAAGCUCUAAGACUUUCCGGGGGUUUAGUAUACCGCUGCCUGCAUGUGGUGAGAAGAUAUCAAUAUUUAUUCAGGCACUGUUCCAGACCCUGGAGAUGUGGAGUCCCAGUCCUCUGAGAGCAAACAAGCAUAGUACCAUGUGACGAUUGCCAUAAUCCAGGUGAUACUCUUUAAAAAACGCUUAUAUACCAGACUAUGAUACAUAGACUAUCUCAGCACAUUCAAAAGAGCAGAAAUUGUACAGAUGACAUUUCAGACCACAGUGCAAUACAAUGAAAGAUGAUUAACACCGUUGUAAGAAUACGUGAUGAUCUAUAACAAAAGGUUAGUACAUAUUUAAUUACUCUCUGGAUGGGCAAUGGCUUUCUAAGAAGGUAAUUUUAGAAAGAAAGAAAAAAUACUACAUUAAAAAAUGUGGUUAAACGCUUGUCUUUGCUCUCUGGCAGCUUUCGCUUGUUAUGAAAGAGCACCUACCACAUUAAUAUUAAGACUGGAUGUUUUCAUGUGUGCAUUAACUGACAUUCUGUAAGUUUAUUGAAGAUUGCAACUGUGUACCUUAGGUCUCUAUAUCCUGCCUGUUACAUAAUGGAUAUUAAUAAAUCUCUCAUCAAAGACUUUUUCUAAAAUUACACUUAAAAAUAAAGAAAAUGUCGACAAAUAUAAAAAUAAUAUUUGCAAGUCAAAAGGAAAAGACUAGUACUCUAGUAGAAAAAUAUUUUUAAAAGUCCAGACUAUUCAGAUAUCUGAAUUAUUAAUAAACUAUUUCUAAAUGUUUAGUCUCCUGCAUUUAAAACAAAGUUAAAACUAGAUCACACAAAUUUUGUUUAAUAAGUUGGCAGAUGUAUACAUUGCUUUACAGGGUGAUAGUGUGAAUGUAGAUUCAUUACAAUCUUCCUCGAAUACUUGCAAAAAGCAAAAGCAGGAGAUACUUUACCACCAUUAGAAAACAAAAACAAAACAGAUACCCAAUCAUAUUAUUUAUUGCCCCAUAUAAAUUCCAAAUACUCAAUUUACAGGAAAUAAAGAGGAGUAUAAAAGUAUCUAUGCAUUCACAAAAUCAAAUAAAGUUACUGAAAGUGAUUCAGUCACAGCCCAGGAAGAUUACUUAUAUUAUUCUUCAUGUUCUCCACUAUAGUAUACACUUGUAUAUGAAAUACAUUUCCUACUUGUAAGGUUACAGACUUAAUACUCUCCUUCUUCUUGGCUGCACUCUAAUUUAUUACUCUAAUAGAUUUCACUAAGUCAAGGAUGCAACCCAUGUAGCAGAUGUAUUUUGCUAGUAUAUGGAAUAUAU
rnacentral:lncRNA from 1 species